AAAUUGAAAUUGUUUUUCGGUUCAGGAAAAAAAAAGGCCCAAUAACUGGAACGGGUAGACGAAUAGACAUAUAUAGAAGGUGAAUUUCAUCCAAUAUCCCCAUUUCAAGAGCGUUAAUGAAAUAUGCCCACUCCAUUUCAAUCUUUUUUAUUUUACCCUCUUAUUUUUUAAUAUUUCCAAAUUACCCUUUUUAAAUAUAAAAAAAAAAAAUGGAGAUGAAAAAUAUUCUAUUUUUCCCCUAAUGUGGAGCACGAACGAGAAGAGGAAGAGAAAGUGAGAGAGAAUGGCAAAGUAGCUUGGGACGACCAGAAAGUUGUUCAAUAGGAGGAGUGAGUGGAGGAAGGAAGCAUCCGAGUCUCAUCAAUCAGCUCCACCACAUCCUUCCCGGUCUUGGCCUUGGAGUUGCCGCCUUUGGAUACCUGCUCGCAUCAACCAAAUGGUUAUGUUCUUUCUCUUCAGUCUCAAUACGCCAUUUCGAUCUACCCUAAUCCACCUUUCUAGACUGAAGGGGCUUUCACAUUUUCUCUCUCCCUCCCUCUCUCUCUCACAUUCCGAAAAAAUAAAAAUGGCAAGUUUGAGAAGGACGUUGAUGAUUGUCGAUCGACUUCUAAAAUUGAUGGCCGCGAUCCACCGUAGCUCCAUUGCAGCAACAGCAGUUGAGCUUCCUUUUUUGUUCCCAUGGAGACUCUGCUUUGGCCAUUAUUGGGUUGUGUAAAUGUUGGGUUUUAUUGUUUCUAUUCGAACAAUUUCAACUUGCUUGCUAUCGAUCUCUUAGACGAAGAAAGCAAGAGAUGCCUAUUCAUCAAGUAUUUUCUUUUUUAUUUGCUCUGUUUUUUUAUUUAAUUUUUGGAAAUUGGGUUUUGAGUUUUUGGGUUUUGGUGAUGAUGAUCAUGUUUUGAUUUCUUUUUGGAUGGGGAUGGGGUUAGACUACUAUACAGGGGCAGACAACGUGGGUUUCUGGAAUUGGAUUUGGUUCUAAGAAAAUGGGUGGAGGAGCAUAUCCAUUCUAUGGAUGAAAAUGGAAUCAAAGCUCUUUGCCAUGUCUUUUUGACCUAGUAACUAUGCUACUCUUUUGCUUGCUUUCUAUAUUAUAAAUAUGUGUAUAUAUUAGAGGUAAGAUUUAUAUGAGGUAUUUGAUGACAUUGAGAUGCAUAUUCCAUCUUCACAUCAUGUAAAACUUACAAUGUUGAAUUAAUUAUAAAUGCAUAUUAAUUUAAUUGUCUCAGUUUUCAUGGCUAAUGCGUAUAUAAUAUAAGUGCAUUAUGCUUUGGAAGCUUGUGCAAAUCAAUGUUUCAAAGACCCAAAAAAAAAAAAAAAAUCCUGUAUACAAGAAAUAAUGGUCUUGUUUUGUUUUUCUUUUUGACAAAAAAUGAUAAAUUCUAAUGCUAUAUUUGUUUGCAUAUAUCCAUUGUUGUAUGAAUGGUUCUCUUAAUUUCAAAUGAGAGUUAUUAGU